rnacentral:rRNA from 1 species
UACGAAGGGUGCAAGCGUUACUCGGAAUUACUGGGCGUAAAGCGUGCGUAGGUGGUGAGUUAAGUCUGUCGUGAAAGCCCCGGGCUCAACCUGGGAAUGGCGAUGGAUACUGGCUCGCUAGAGUGCGGUAGAGGAGAGUGGAAUUCCCGGUGUAGCAGUGAAAUGCGUAGAGAUCGGGAGGAACACCGGUGGCGAAGGCGGGUCUCUGGGCCGAUACUGACGCUGAGGAGCGAAAGCGUGGGGAGCGAACAGG